rnacentral:rRNA from 1 species
UCACCUACGGGAGGCAGCAGUGAGGAAUAUUGGUCAAUGGGAGAGAUCCUGAACCAGCUAUUCCGCGUGUGGGAUGAAGGCCCUCGGGUUGUAAACCACUUUUGUAGAGAACGAAAAGACACCUUCGAAUAAAGGGUGUUGCUGACGGUACUCUAAGAAUAAGCACCGGCUAACUACGUGCCAGCAGCCGCGGUAAUACGUAGGGUGCGAGCGUUAAUCGGAAUUACUGGGCGUAAAGGGUGCGCAGGCGGUUGGGUAAGACAGAUGUGAAAUCCCCGGGCUUAACUCGGGAAUGGCAUAUGUGA